rnacentral:rRNA from 1 species
UACGUAGGGGGCUAGCGUUACCCGGAUUCACUGGGCGUAAAGCGCGUGUAGGCGGCUGGCCAAGCGUGGUGUGAAAUCUCCGGGCUCAACCCGGAAACUGCACUGCGAACUGGCCUGGCUGGAGUGCAGGAGAGGGAUGCGGAAUUCACGGUGUAGCGGUGAAAUGCGUAGAUAUCGUGAGGAACACCAGUGGCGAAGGUGGCCGGCUGGGGGUGACCUGACGCUGAGGCGCGAAAGCGUGGGGAGCGAACCGG